rnacentral:misc_RNA from 1 species
AAUCCAAGAAUUUCACCUCUGACAGUCGAAUGCGAAUGCCCCCAACUAUCCCUAUUUAUCAUCAUCACAGCUCUAGAAGCCAACAAAAUAGUGCCGCAAUCCUAUCUUAUUAUUCCAUGCUAAUGUAUUCAAGGCAGAAGCCUGCUUGAAGCACUCUAAUUUCCUCAAAGUAAAUGCCCUGGAUACCACACCACACAGUCAAGUGCAGCUGUGCUCUCCAAGAAGAUGCCCAGGACAAGCCAGGUACUCACCCAGAGGGCGGACCAGUUGUCCUUGGCAGAGGUCCAACUACGAGCUUUUUAACCGCAACAACUUUAAUAUACGCUAUUGGAGCUGGAAUUACC